rnacentral:rRNA from 1 species
GACGAACGCUGGCGGCGUGCCUAAUACCUGCAAGUCGAACGCAGUGGGGACGGGUGAGUAACACGUGGGUAACCUCCCCAUCAGAGGGGAUAACACUUGGAAACAGGUGCUAAACCGCUAUUGAUGGAUGGACACGGGGUGCAUUAGCUAGUUGGGGGGGUAACGGCUCACCAAGUCCACGAUGCAUAGCCGACCUGAGAGGGGGAUCGCCCACAGUGGGACUGAGACACGGCCCCGACUCCUACGGUAGGAAGCAGUGGGUAAUCUUCGGCAAUGGACGAAAGUCUGACCGAGCAACGCCGCGUAAGUGAAGAAGGUUUUCGGAGCGUAAGACUCUGUUGUUAGAGAAGCGGUAUCUAACCAGAAAGCCAUGGCUAACUACGUGCCAGCAGCCGCGGUAAUAC